UAGCUCAGUUGGUAGAGUGUGGUGCUUGCAAUAUUAGGGUCGUGGGUUCAAUUCCCAU
rnacentral:tRNA from 1 species